UUUCCUACGGGGGGCAGCAGUGGGGAAUAUUGCACAAUGGGGGAAACCCUGAUGCAGCAACGCCGCGUGAGUGAAGAAGGUUUUCGGAUUGUAAAGCUCUGUUAGCAGGGAAGAGGAAGGACGGUACCUGCAGAGGAAGCCACGGCUAACUACGUGCCAGCAGCCGCGGUAAUACGUAGGAUGCGAGCGUUAUCCGGAUUUAUUGGGUUUAAAGGGUGCGUAGGCGGGCUGUUAAGUCAGCGGUCAAAUGUCGGGGCUCAACCCCGGCCUGCCGUUGAAACUGGCGGCCUCGAGUGGGCGAGAAG
rnacentral:rRNA from 1 species